rnacentral:rRNA from 1 species
CCCUUAGAUGUUCUGGGCCGCACGCGCGCUACACUGAUGCAUUCAACGAGCCUAGCCUUGACCGAGAGGUCCGGGUAAUCUUUGAAACUGCAUCGUGAUGGGGCUAGAUUAUUGCGAUUAUUAAUCUUCAACGAGGAAUGCCUAGUAAGCGUGAUUCAUCAAAUCGCGUUGAUUACGUCCCUGCCCUUUGUACACACCGCCCGUCGCUCCUACCGAUUGAGUGUGUUGGUGAGGAGUUCGGAUUGGCUCUUAGUGGUGGUUCGCCACCACCUAGAGCUGAGAAGUUCUCCAAACCGCCCCACUUAGAGGAAGGAGAAGUCGUAACA